UAGAGGAGAUGCAUUCAGUCUUUCCCUAUU
rnacentral:piRNA from 1 species